rnacentral:rRNA from 1 species
CCUACGGGAGUCAGCAGUGAGGAAUAUUGGUCCAUGGGCUUACGCCUGAACCAGCCAAGUCGCGUGAGGGAAGACUGCCCUAUGGGUUGUCAACCUCUUUUGUCAGGGAGCAACGCCGGCUAAGUGUAGACGGCCUGAGAGUACCUGCAGCAAAAGCAUCGGCUAACGCAGUGCCAGCAGCCGCGGUAAUACGGAAGAUGCGAGCAUUAUUCGGAUUUAUUGGGUUUAAAGGGUGCUUAUGCGGAAUGCCAAGUCAGCGGUAAAAUCGCGCGGGUCAACCUUGCUCCGCCGUUGAAACUGGCGUUCUGGAGGGGGCGAGAAGUAUGCGGGAUGCGUGGGGUAGCGGUGAAAUGCAUAGAUAUCACGAAGAACUCCGAUUGCGAAGGCAGCAUACCGGAGCCCAACUGACGCUGAAGCACGAAAGCGUGGGUAUCGAACAGGAUUAGAUACCCCAGUAGUC